GAGACACGGCCCAGACUCCUACGGGAGGCAGCAGUAAGGGAUAUUGGUCAAUGGGGGAAACCCUGAACCAGCAACGCCGCGUGAGGGAAGACGGUUUUCGGAUUGUAAACCUCUGUCCUCUGUGAAGAUGAUGACGGUAGCAGAGGAGGAAGCUCCGGCUAACUACGUGCCAGCAGCCGCGGUAAUACGUAGGGAGCGAGCGUUGUCCGGAUUUACUGGGUGUAAAGGGUGCGUAGGCGGCUGUGCAAGUCAGUAGUGAAAUCCAUGGGCUUAACCCAUGAACUGCUAUUGAAACUGCACAGCUUGAGUGAAGUAGAGGUAGGCGGAAUUCCCGGUGUAGCGGUGAAAUGCGUAGAGAUCGGGAGGAACACCAGUGGCGAAGGCGGCCUACUGGGCUUUAACUGACGCUGAGGCACGAAAGCGUGGGUAGCAAACAGGAUUAGAUACCCUGGUAGUCCACGCUGUAAACGAUGAUUACU
rnacentral:rRNA from 1 species